AUUGAACGCUGGCGGCAUGCCUUACACAUGCAAGUCGAACGGUAACGGGCCUUCGGGUGCCGACGAGUGGCGAACGGGUGAGUAAUGCAUCGGAACGUACCUUUCAGUGGGGGAUAACGUAGCGAAAGUUACGCUAAUACCGCAUAUUCUGUGAGCAGGAAAGCAGGGGAUCGCAAGACCUUGCGCUGAUUGAGCGGCCGAUGUCAGAUUAGCUAGUUGGUGAGGUAAAGGCUCACCAAGGCGACGAUCUGUAGCGGGUCUGAGAGGAUGAUCCGCCACACUGGAACUGAGACACGGUCCAGACUCCUACGGGAGGCAGCAGUGGGGAAUUUUGGACAAUGGGGGCAACCCUGAUCCAGCCAUGCCGCGUGAGCGAAGAAGGCCUCGGUUGUAAAGCGUCUUCGGUCCGG
rnacentral:rRNA from 1 species